AACGAACGCUGGCGGCAGGCUUAACACAUGCAAGUCGAACGCCCCGCAAGGGGAGCGGCAGACGGGUGAGUAACGCGUGGGAAUCUACCCUUGACUACGGAAUAACGCAGGGAAACUUGUGCUAAUACCGUAUGUGUCCUUCGGGAGAAAGAUUUAUCGGUCAAGAAUGAGCCCGCGUUGGAUUAGCUAGUUGGGGGGUA
rnacentral:rRNA from 1 species